rfam:Lactobacillus pasteurii DSM 23907 = CRBIP 24.76, type strain:CRBIP 24.76, WGS project CAKD01000000 data, contig: 20
UUAUAGUUGUUGGGCAAUGUUUAACCUCUGAAUUGUGUCAGGAUCGGAAGAUAGCAGCACUAAGGUUGUUUAGGCAUGUGCCCUUUCUAAGACAAUUACA